UACACACCGCCCGUCACACCAUGGGAGUUGGCUUUACCUGAAGACGGUGCGCUAACCGCAAGGGAGGCAGCCGGCCACGGUAGGGUCAGCGACUGGGUG
rnacentral:rRNA from 1 species